rnacentral:lncRNA from 1 species
CGGAGCUGGGGCCGUCGCCCCAGCGAAGCCCUUCCGGCCCUGAGGGGAGGCCCAAGGCUACCUCCUCCCCGCCUCAGCUGCUCGAGGAAAGGCCUCCACCAUGAGAGCUCCCUGCUGCAAGGCCUCGCGUUUUGUUAACCUCCCUGUUUUUCCAGUGGGGCCGUCGCCCCAGCGAAGCCCUUCCGGCCCUGAGGGGAGGCCCAAGGCUACCUCCUCCCCGCCUCAGCUGCUCGAGGAAAGGCCUCCACCAUGAGAGCUCCCUGCUGCAAGGCCUCGCGUUUUGUUAACCUCCCUGUUUUUCCAGGCUGGGAGCAAGAAAGAAAGUCAGGUUCUGAGGGGGGAAAAGGAUUGGGGAGCUUUAGUGGAGAGCAGCUGCUCCUGCAAGCCAAAGACUGGCUCUGCCCAAGGGUCUCGGUUAACUCGGCUUUGCGGCCAGCACCUCGUUGUUUUGAAUCAGCUACAGAGUUUUUGAGAGAAGAGAUUAGAUCAGGCGGGAGCCCGUGCGGCGCGGUGAGACGCCCUGGUGUCCCAGCACAGCGGAGAGCCUCGCCGAGGCACCGCGGAUUGAAGCCGGGCGUCCCUCAGCGACCUGCCUGCCCGGUCCACCUCAGCCUGGCCCCGUUGAGCGCAUCCGCACCUGACCAUAAAUGCAGUUUAUCCCCAGCGGCCCUGGCUAGCUUCACGGAGCACAGAACUAAGCACAGGGGAAUUGGUAGAAGCACGCUUCUAGGCUGUCAAGUCAUUUUAGAAGGAUGAAAUAAGUACACGGAGCAGCCGUCCGUCCAUCCCUGAUUGUACCCAAAAACUCGCAUUUCCGGCUGUUUAGCUGGAUAUUUGGCAUGGUCCGGGAAUGCACAAGUCUCAUUCUUUCGCCAACGAUUUCCUUUCCACCUUCACUGUUUAUACACACGUGUAGGAACAUUAAUGGACAUAUCCCCAAAAGAAUUAGUUUUCUAAUCCGCGUUCAUUAAAACCCCAAAACAGCUCCCUAAGAAGUCUCCAAAACGCAGUAAGAAAAGCAAGCCUAUGAUCAGCACAUUUAAAUUCUCUGUGUAGGAAUCAACAGCUUCACUAGAAUAUUUUGGGGGGCUGCAAGCGAAAAAAAGCCGAAACCCGCUGCUGAAAGCUGCCAUUUCAAAUCUGUUUGCUGGGCACUGCAGCGUCUGAAUUUAGUCAAGCGCUAAGAGACGAUGUAACACAGCGGAUGUUUAAUGGACGAGGUAACGGCAUCCUUUUUUUUUCCUUAAAUAGUAUAACUGGGUUUAGUAAUUUUACUUUAAACUCGCCUUGGUGUUGAGCUGGCAGCCCUGAAGACCACGUGAUGCCCCACACGCAGCUCGGAGGCGCUCAGCAGCACCGGUUCGGCGUUCGAGCCCCCUUGGGACCGAGGGGGGUCUGGGCUCUGCAGCUGCACGGGAGCAGGUUGUGUUCAGCAAUCGCAGUGAUUUUAAAAAAGGGAUCCUUAGCCAUAAUCCAUUCCUCUUAGGGGAGAAAAGAGCAAAAACCUUCUUAAACGGAGCCCCGUUGCUGCCGCAGCCCCGCAGAGGCACUGCGCGUUAAGCCAAGGAAAGGCGGCUGCAGCGCGGGUGGCGGGAACAACGUUUUUGUACUGGACAAGCGGCGCUUAGUGCUGUGUGUUACAUCCCGGCAGCUUUGCUCCAAGAGCGGGAGCGGACAGAGGAGGGA